rnacentral:misc_RNA from 1 species
GAUGAAGAACGUAGCGAAAUGCGAUAAGUAAUGUGAAUUGCAGAAUUCAGUGAAUCAUCGAAUCUUUGAACGCACAUUGCGCCCGCCAGUAUUCUGGCGAGCAUGCCUGUUCGAGCGUCAUUUCAACCUUCAAGCCCCAGGCUUGUGUUGGAGCCCUGCGGCUGCCGCAGCCUCCCAAAACCAGUGGCGGGCUCGCUAUCACACCGAGUGCAGUAGUUUACUCUUCGCUCAGGGCGUGUGGCGGGUGCUAGCCGUGAAACCCCCAACUUCUCAAGGUUGACCUCGGAUCAGGUAGGAAUACCCGCUGAACUUAAGCAUAUCAAUAAGCGGAGGA